GACGAACGCUGGCGGCGUGCUUAACACAUGCAAGUCGAACGGAAAGGCCCUGCUUUUGUGGGGUGCUCGAGUGGCGAACGGGUGAGUAACACGUGAGUAACCUGCCCUUGACUUUGGGAUAACUUCAGGAAGCUGGGGCUAAUACCGGAUAGGAGCUCCUGCUGCAUGGUGGGGGUUGGAAAGUUUCGGCGGUUGGGGAUGGACUCGCGGCUUAUCAGCUUGUUGGUGGGGUAGUGGCUUACCAAGGCUUUGACGGGUAGCCGGCCUGAGAGGGUGACCGGCCACAUUGGGACUGAGAUGCGGCCCAGACUCCUACGGGAGGCAGCAGUGGGGAAUAUUGCACAAUGGGCGGAAGCCUGAUGCAGCAACGCCGCGUGCGGGAUGACGGCCUUCGGGUUGUAAACCGCUUUCGCCUGUGACGAAGCGUGAGUGACGGUAAUGGGUAAAGAAGCACCGGCUAACUACGUG
rnacentral:rRNA from 1 species